UGUUACAACGGGGAAAAAAGUAAAACACAUGUUUAUGAAUACUUUUUGGUCUGAUUUCCCAAGGGGCAGAGCAUCUAUUGGUGUUCACAGUUCUGAGCAUUUAGCUCCACUGAAAAUCAGGUCAAUACCCUGGCACCAGCGGGCUUCCAACGUUGGUUAGUAGAGAAGGCAAGGGUUUGGAGGGAAGAUUCCCUCUCUCAAAGUUACUAUUACUAUUUGUACUGCAGUAGUGCAUAGGAGCCCCAAUCAGGGAUGAGACCCUCAUUGUGCCAGGCACUGUACAGACAUAUAACAGAAAGAUGGGCCUUGCUUAGCUCUGAAGAAAUUAAAUUUGAGUAUAAAAUAGGAGACAACAGGUGGCUUUAACAAACCGGUGAGGAGAGCACAGGGCCGACUCUAGGUUUUUUGCCGCCCCAAGCAAAAAAUGUGCCGCCCCCAAGCUCCGAGAGCGCAACUGCCUAAGCAAAAAAAAAAAAAAAAAAGGUGGGAAGGUGGGAGGUGGCUGGAAUGCCGCCCCUGGAAUUGUGCUGCCCCAGUUUCGUGCUUGCUUUGCUGGUGCCUAGAGUUGGUCCUGGGAGAGCACCAGGUAAGGAGACAAGUCUAGUCAGCAUGAGAAGUGGCAGUCAUUAACACCCAAUGCUUAACCCUUGUUGAGUUUUUUGUAAGCAUCACAGCAAAGUCUUUAGGAGGUAUUAGCAAGAGAACAAUGAGGUGGUUUUGCAGAUGUUUAUGGGUAGGUCUUCCUGUGCAUAAGAGGCGGCUUGGAAGAAAUACCGUGGAAUAUAGAAAUCCUUCAAUACGAGAAUGUGACUCAAAAGUGCAAAUGCUGGUGGAGAGGCGAUCAAUUGCCUUGCUCAAAACUAAUGUUAAUAUCAAAGACCACAGUAGAUAUAAAUAAUAGACCAAAAAAACCCAACAAUAGAUGAGCGUUAGAGCUGCAUCUUCCGAAGUUAAAUAGAAAUGGCUCUGAUCCUGUGGAAAGUCACUUAGACGGCUUGUGGCAAGUAGGUCCCACUCACGCACAACUGAAGCACGCAAACAUGAAAUACUUGUAUACAGCAGAGGACUAUUCAGCAUUUUAUUUUUAUUUUGCGAGGGUAAAUCUAUAUAUUCUUUGUAGCCUUCCUAAUCCCAUUUCCUGCAUCUCUUCUUAAACCUCCUCUUCUCACCGCUGUAUCCCCCCACAAGUACAUCUCUGCAAACAUUUUGUUACAAACUCGAAAAUUUCUCAAGAAAUAGCACUUCCCUCCCCAAACCAAACUGGCAUGUUCCUGGGGGGAAAUUUUAUAAGCAAAGAUGGCUUUUACAAUCCAAACCUGUAAAAAUGUGCACUUUUGGGAUUUUUUUGGUGCAAGAACAGUCAUUUUAUCAAAAUCGUGCUAAAGUGAGAUAUGUGUAUGUGAAAUGAUACUGUGCAAAAUGGAAGUAUUUUCCAUGUGGAAUUCAGACAAAUAAAACCCACUAAUAUUGCUUUGUUCCAUCCCUUUCUCACUCUGCCUUCCCUUCUGAUCCCCAGUGUGUCCCCUCUUCCAACUGCAGCCCUUCCUCUGAAAAUCCUGGUCUACUCCAUACCCAAACAAUGAGCUAUUCUGCUCUCUUCUCACUUUGCCUCCCCUUCCCAGCUUCUCCACCUUUACCCAUUCUGAUACCCCCUCAAAGGCCCAUCUGUCCCUGGGAAUUCCCCCACCCUAGCCAGAACUUGUGCAUUUAUCAGGAAAAGUUACCAAUUAUUAACUCUGCUGUGAGACUUCAGUAAAUUCAUCAGUCAGUGGUAAAGGAUAAUUAUGUGGCUUGUAUAUAUUUCCAGUUAUCAUGAUAUUACUAUUCUUUUUAAUUAUGUGCAGAAUCCUUUUAAGAGAGUAAUGAGGAAGGGGAACUUGCUUCGCCUACCCGAUAGUAACCCAGUUAUCACAACUGAGCAGGCUAAGAGAGACGGCCCAGAUUGCCAGCUCUGAACCUUCUCAGAUUCUGCUGCGUGUUAGUGCUUUCAGUGAAACUGAAAAUGUCAUGAUUAGGCUUCAGAGAAGUCUUUUAACUGCUGCUGCACAUUGGGCAAACUUCUCCAUUGAAUUAUCCAUGAGGACUUCUGAUCUUUUUUCCUCAGAGGAUCCUGCUAGUUCAGAGGCAGUAAGUAUUGAUAAGAAAUCUAACUAUAUUUGUCAGUGUGCAUAACUUUUAAUCUGCCCUUGUGCUGUCCAAUCUACUUUAGUUUUGAUGAAUAAAAACAGUGGU